UUACUUCAAAAAUGAAAAAACGCACUUCAAUGAGGUAAAAUUUGAAGUUCGAAAUUUAAAGCUCAUCUCAAUCUCUUCGCCUUUCUAUUUUAUAUCUCUCCUUGCCGUCCCCCAUCCUCUCUCUCUCUUGAUCUCUCGCCUUGCCCACCUUAGCCCUCUCUCUCUCUUGAUCAGAAAAAAUGCCAACAUUCCAGGCAAAAAUGGAGAUUUUCGAUCACACUAGACUUAAAGAAUUAGGAUCAAGAAUUGGGAGAUUCACAGCUUACUCUACGUAUUUUGAAUGGGGAAUUGUAUGGGGCAGUGAGAUGGUUUGAAGUGUGGUGAUGAAGAUAUUUGGUUUCAAAGCCAUAAAGUAGAAGGCAUGAGAGCUUCUCGCUCAUGUAUUUUCAAGGCUAAAAAAUAUUCUUGACAUAGACAGAGAGAUGGAACAAUGUUGUAAUCAUAUAAUUCGAAUUUGAAUUUUAUGCAAGCAAUGCUAAUGGAGAUCUCACUCACUCUCUCUCUCUCUUUUAAAUUUUAAAACAAUUGAUGUAUUUUAUCUUGUGCCUACAUGAAUAAAGUUUUUCUUGUUCAAUGGGAA